rnacentral:rRNA from 1 species
CCUACGGGAGGCAGCAGUGAGGAAUAUUGGACAAUGGGCGCAAGCCUGAUCCAGCCAUGCCGCGUGCAGGAAGAAGCAUCUAUGGUGUGUAAACUGCUUUUGUACAGGAAGAAACACUCCCUCGUGAGGGAGCUUGACGGUACUGUAAGAAUAAGGACCGGCUAACUCCGUGCCAGCAGCCGCGGUAAUACGGAGGGUCCGAGCGUUAUCCGGAAUCAUUGGGUUUAAAGGGUCCGUAGGCGGUUUAAUAAGUCAGUGGUGAAAUCUGGUCGCUCAACGAUCAAACGGCCAUUGAUACUGUUAGACUUGAAUUAUAAGGAAGUAACUAGAAUAUGUAGUGUAGCGGUGAAAUGCUUAGAUAUUACAUGGAAUACCAAUUGCGAAGGCAGGUUACUACUUAUGGAUUGACGCUGAUGGACGAAAGCGUGGGGAGCGAACAGGAUUAGAUACCCUGGUAGUCCACGCCGUAAACGAUGGAUACUAGCUGUUCGGAGCAAUCUGAGUGGCUAAGCGAAAGUGAUAAGUAUCCCACCUGGGGAGUACGUUCGCAAGAAUGAAACUCAAAGGAAUUGACGGNUGAGAGAGACGACGACGACGACGAGGGAGGAGG